rnacentral:pre_miRNA from 1 species
AGCACAAUUGCUAGGUUGCAUGGUAAGACUAUGUCCAAAUUUGUAAGAAAAUGCUGAUCCAUCUUUCAAAGUGGCUGCAUCAUUCCACAUUCCCUCGAGCAAU